AUACGGAGGGUGCAAGCGUUACUCGGAAUCACUGGGCGUAAAGCGCGCGCAGGCGGCCCGAUAAGUUGGAUGUGAAAGCCUACGGCUCAACCGUAGAACUGCAUCCAAAACCGUCGGGCUAGAGUCUGGGAGGGGAAGAUGGAAUUAGUUGUGUAGGGGUAAAAUCCGUAGAGAUAACUAGGAAUACCAAAAGCGAAGGCGAUCUUCUGGAACAGUACUGACGCUGAGGCGCGAAAGCGUGGGGAGCAAACAGGAUUAGAUACCCUAGUAGUCC
rnacentral:rRNA from 1 species